rnacentral:rRNA from 1 species
CCUACGGGAGGCAGCAGUAGGGAAUCUUCCGCAAUGGACGAAAGCCUGACGGAGCAACGCCGCGUGAGUGAUGAAGGCUUUCGGGUCGUAAAACUCUGUUGUUAGGGAAGAACAAGUACGAGAGUAACUGCUCGUACCUUGACGGUACCUAACCAGAAAGCCACGGCUAACUACGUGCCAGCAGCCGCGGUAAU